GAUGAAGAACGCAGCGAAAUGCGAUAAGUAAUGCGAAUUGCAGAAUUCCAGUGAGUCAUCGAAUCUUUGAACGCACAUUGCGCCCUUUUGUAUUCCGAAGGGCAUGCCUGUUCGAGCGUCAUUAUCACCCCUCAAGCCCUCGGCUUGGUGUUGGACGGUUUGGUGGAGGCCCCCUCGGGGGCUCCUGCCCCUCCCAAAGACAAUGACGGCGGCCUCGUUGGACCCCCGGUACACUGAGUUCUUCACGGGACACGUAUCGGACACAUGGGUUUACGGGACACGGUCUGCCUCCCCUCAGGGAGAAUCUUUCUAAGGUUGACCUCGGAUCAGGUAGGGAUACCCGCUGAACUUAAGCAUAUCAAUAAGCGGAGGA
rnacentral:misc_RNA from 1 species